AGGCUGCAUGGAGAGAAAAUGAGAUCUGAGGACAGGAAAGUGGAAUUGAUUUCAUGCUUAGCAAAAUGAGGGUUUCAGCAGAGGACCUUUUUGUGGUGAGGCUACAGAAUCAGAAGGAACGUUUGUCUGUGCAACUGGACGAUUUACAGUUUUUCAUGAAGCCAACCAAGACAUUGGGGUUAGCAUCAUCCCAAAUGGCUGGCAAAGAUUGCUUGUAACUGUCAGUGUAGGACAGGAAAGGCAGGUAUAGGUUAGGGAGGGCAUCCAUCGGUGAGCUUUGACUGGAUGUGAGGACCUGUCACACUUGACCUGAGAUGAAGGCUGCAGCACAUUCCUGGAUCAGAGGACUCCAUGUUGGACACCACGACCUGGAGAAUUCCCGUCCUGGAUGGCUGCGCUGAUGACCUAUCCCAAGAUGAACCGACCCUUCUACGACGAGGAUUUUGCCCAAGAUGAACCGACCCUUCUACGACGAGGACUUUGCCUAAGAUGAACCGACCCUUCUACGACGAGGACCUCGCCCAAGAUGAACCGACCUUUUCCACCUCUUCCACGGGAUGUCUUCAGAUGUUGGACCUUGGACACUGCUACUUUCAGCCUGUUUCAGUCUGUAAAAGAUCACAAGCUCUCUGCAUGACCCAACAGCAUCGAUGUUUGAGUUAUUUAAUUGCUCAAUUUUUAAAUCAGUCAAGAUUUUAUGAGCUGGGUCUUCUUCACACACAGAGAACAAGGUAAAUUGAGUCGACUCGUAACAUGGUAAGGCAUUUCUUCCUUCCCCUUCUUCUCUGUGUGUGAGGAAAUCUGGCCACAGAUACUGACUGAGUGGCAUACCAUGGCUGUGCAGUUUCCAAAAUCAGACAAGGAUCCAUCUGAUUUUGUGACUCUGCCUGUCAUGAUAUGCAUGUAUCUUGGUCUGAAACAAAGGACAGGUUUUUAGUGUAAAUCACAUCACUUGUAGAUGGUGUACAGACACUGCUAAUUUCAGCCUGUAAUGUUUGACAUUGAAAACUUGUAUGUAUUGCCUUCUUUAUAUCAAGUAAAACUUUUGUUCUUAA